rnacentral:rRNA from 1 species
GAUGAACGCUGGCGGCGUGCCUAAUACAUGCAAGUCGAGCGAACGGACGAGAAGCUUGCUUCUCUGAUGUUAGCGGCGGACGGGCGAGUAACACGUGGAUAACCUACCUAUAAGACUGGGAUAACUUCGGGAAACCGGAGCUAAUACCGGAUAAUAUUUUGAACCGCAUGGUUCAAAAGUGAAAGACGGUCUUGCUGUCUCUUAUAGAUGGAUCCGCGCUGCAUUAGCUAGUUGGUAAGGUAACGGCUUACCAAGGCAACGAUGCAUAGCCGACCUGAGAGGAUGAUCGGCCACACUGGAACUGAGACACGGUCCAGACUCCUACGGGAGGCAGCAGUGGGGAAUCUUCCGCAAUGGGCGAAAGCCUGACGGAGCAACGCCGCGUGAGUGAUGAAGGUCUUCGGAUCGUAAAACUCUGUUAUUAGGGAAGAACAUAUGUGUAAGUAACUGUGCACAUCUUGACGGUACCUAAUCAGAAAGCCACGGCUAACUACGUG